CCCAAGAGCUGCCAUUAAAACCCUGCAGCCCAAUGACACUGGGAGGACACAGACAGAGAGUGGCAGUUUUUUCAGCUGAAGGCCCUCAGUGAAUUAUUCGGGGCUCGGAUGCCAGGAUGUCCCCCGAGAAAGUCGCCCUCAUGCUUUUCACUGCGGCUUGGGCGCUGCCUGCUGGAACCUCAGGGGCCAGCCCCCCUGGGAUCUGCGUGGGAGCAGGAAAUCCCAGACUCAAUUUGGCCCCUUCCUCGGUGGAUGACCUGUACAAAGGCUGCAAGUACGCCAUGAGGCAACAUCUCCCGUCCCUGAUAAAAGCGGAGCUGACCAAGAACAGGAACUUCUAUCUGGCUUGGAACAAGGCAAAGAAGGAGUGGACGAGGAAGACGAAUACGUACAUCUUCCCCAACACAAUGAAAGCUUUCUGCAGCGUCGCCGUGAUAGCCUACACCUUAAACAACCCGCCUCUGUACAAGGACUUCAACACGGCCACCAGGACGGGCUGGACGGGACCCAACGCCUACGCCAGCUACCCCUUCAAGGCCUUGCAUUUCCUGCUGACCCAGGCGCCCAAAGAGAUAUGGGGGAUAAAGCCCAGUUGUGCCACCGUCUACAGAGGAACCAACGUAAACUUCUCCAUCAGCCACUUGUUCCGCUUCGGCCAGUUCACCUCCACCUCAAAGAGCUCUAAGAAGGCGACCAAUUUCGGCCAAAAGACCUUCUUCAUCCUGGUUUCCUGCACAGGGUAUAGGCUUCGGGACCUGUCCCACUUCCCUGAUGAACAAGAGGUGCUGGUGCCACCCUCCGAGAUGUUCCAGGUCACCAGUAUCCAGGGCACCUGGAUGCGGCAGACUGUCCAGGCCAAGUCGGUGGGGGUCUGCAGCAACCACAACUGUGCCUACACAAGGAAAGGAGAUCCCAAUGUGAAGAAAUGCCCUCCUCACCAAGUGCUGCAUUUGUGAGGCACCGGAGCGAGGAGGUGAGGCAGCCUUUGGCCAAGAGCUCCAGGGAUCAUCAUGUUCUUCUAGACUGGGAUCAAGCCACCCCGGGAGCAUCUCUUUGCUAAGCUAAAUAGAUUGAGCUCCUGGAGGCAAGGUGUCUACGCCCUCAGUCACUCUUCUGGUUCUUCUCUGGCCGCUCUUCAAUCGAUUCAACUGAUGCUUAUUCUCUUUCUGUAUCUGCUCCUACAAUAAACACGCCCGCAUUGCA